UACGAGGGGAGCAAGCGUUGUUCGGAUUUACUGGGCGUAAAGGGCGCGUAGGCGGCAAUUCAAGUCAUCUGUGAAAUCUCCGGGCUUAACCCGGAACGGUCAGAUGAUACUGCUUUGCUAGAGUGCGGAAGGGGCAAUCGGAAUUCUUGGUGUAGCGGUGAAAUGCGUAGAUAUCAAGAGGAACACCUGAGGUGAAGACGGGUUGCUGGGCCGACACUGACGCUGAUAGCGCGAAAGCCAGGGGAGCAAACGGG
rnacentral:rRNA from 1 species